CUUGUACUCCUUCCGUCCGAAAAUACUUGUCAUUGAAAUGGAUGUAUCUAGAUGUAUUUUAGUUCUAGACACAUCCAUUUUGAUGACAAGUAAUUCCGGACAGAGGGAGGACUUG
rfam:Triticum urartu cultivar G1812 contig18162, whole genome shotgun sequence.